rnacentral:rRNA from 1 species
UAGGGAAUCUUCGGCAAUGGACGGAAGUCUGACCGAGCAACGCCGCGUGAGUGAAGAAGUUUUUCGGAUCGUAAAGCUCUGUUGUAAGAGAAGAACGAGUGUGAGAGUGGAAAGUUCACACUGUGACGGUAUCUUACCAGAAAGGGACGGCUAACUACGUGCCAGCAGCCGCGGUAAUACGUAGGUCCCGAGCGUUGUCCGGAUUUAUUGGGCGUAAAGCGAGCGCAGGCGGUUAGAUAAGUCUGAAGUUAAAGGCUGUGGCUUAACCAUAGUAGGCUUUGGAAACUGUUUAACUUGAGUGCAAGAGGGGAGAGUGGAAUUCCAUGUGUAGCGGUGAAAUGCGUAGAUAUAUGGAGGAACACCGGUGGCGAAAGCGGCUCUCUGGCUUGUAACUGACGCUGAGGCUCGAAAGCGUGGGGAGCAAACAGGAUUAGAUACCCUGGUAGUCCACGCUGUAAACGAUGAGUGCUAGGUGUUAGACCCUUUCCGGGGUUUAGUGCCGUAGCUAACGCAUUAAGCACUCCGCCUGGGGAGUACGACCGCAAGGUUG